rnacentral:rRNA from 1 species
GACGAACGCUGGCGGCGUGCUUAACACAUGCAAGUCGAACGGAAAGGCCCUGCUUUUGUGGGGUGCUCGAGUGGCGAACGGGUGAGUAACACGUGAGUAACCUGCCCUUGACUUUGGGAUAACUUCAGGAAACUGGGGCUAAUACCGGAUCGGAGCUCCUGCUGCAUGGUGGGGGUUGGAAAUUUUCGGCGGUUGGGGAUGGACUCGCGGCUUAUCAGCUUGUUGGUGGGGUAGUUGCUUACCAAGGCUUUGACGGGUAGCCGGCCUGAGAAGGUGACCGGCGACAAUGGGACUGAGAUACGGCGCAGACUGCUACGGGAGGCAGCAGGGGGGAAUAUUGCACAAUGGGAGGAAGUGUGAUGCAGCAACGCCGGGUGCGGGAUGACGGCCUGCGGGUUGUAAACAGCUUUAGCCUGUGACGAAGCGGGAGUGACGGUAAUGGGUAAAGAAGCACCGGCUAACUACGUG